rnacentral:lncRNA from 1 species
GAUAGUGAACUCCAAAUCAUCCUCGAACUUGGAGUUCUUGCCUUUGAGAGAUUCAAUGCGAUUUUUUAUUUCCUCAAUCUUUCAAUCAAGAACGGCCUCCUCUUGGAAACCCACUUUAGUCGGCGAGGGAAUGAAUGGCCUGAUAUAGAAUCUACCUUGGGAUGAGAACUUGAAGGACUACAUCUCUAGUUUCGUCUAGGAUUCUAAGGAUGAGAAUGAUGGCUAUGCUGCAUUGGACCUCCAUGGUGGCUCAGCUCAUUUGCGUACUAUAGAUUGGUAGUCUACUAGUGUAGGUUUUGAAUAGUUGCUGUGAGAGCCUGGACCUAGUGGACGAGCAGAUUAAACUGCUCAGCAUUA